AGAGUUUGAUCCUGGCUCAGGAUGAACGCUGGCGGCGUGCCUAACACAUGCAAGUCGAGCGUGAAGGUUAAGAAGGAUUCUUCGGAUGACUGAUUGACUGGAAAGCGGCGGACGGGUGAGUAACGCGUGGGUAACCUGCCCUACACACAGGGAUAGCCAUUGGAAACGAUGAUUAAUACCUGAUAACACAAAGACGGCGCAUGUUGUCUUUGUCAAAGAUUUAUCGGUGUAGGAUGGACCCGCGUCUGAUUAGCUAGUUGGUAAGGUAACGGCUUACCAAGGCGACGAUCAGUAGCCGACCUGAGAGGGUGAUCGGCCACACUGGAACUGAGACACGGUCCAGACUCCUACGGGAGGCAGCAGUGGGGAAUAUUGCACAAUGGGCGCAAGCCUGAUGCAGCAACGCCGCGUGAACGAAGAAGGUCUUCGGAUCGUAAAGUUCUUUUCUUAGGGAAGAAAAAUGACGGUACCUAAGGAAUAAGCACCGGCUAAUNUG
rnacentral:rRNA from 1 species